rnacentral:rRNA from 1 species
UACGAAGGGGGCUAGCGUUGCUCGGAAUUACUGGGCGUAAAGCGUGCGCAGGCGGUUUUGUAAGACAGAUGUGAAAUCCCCGGGCUCAACCUGGGAACUGCGUUUGUGACUGCAAGACUUGAGUGCGGCAGAGGGGGGGUAGAAUUCCACGUGUAGCAGUGAAAUGCGUAGAGAUGUGGAGGAAUACCGAUGGCGAAGGCAGCCCCCCUGGGUCGACACUGACGCUCAUGCACGAAAGCGU